GCGGGCGGCUAGCUCAGCGGAAGAGCGCUCGCCUCACACGCGAGAGGUCGUAGGUUCAAGUCCUACGCCGCCCAC
rnacentral:tRNA from 1 species